rnacentral:rRNA from 1 species
GAUGAACGCUGGCUGCGUUCCUAAUACUUGCAAGUCGCGCGAACGUACGAUAAUUUUUCUUCUCUGAUGUUAGCGUCGUCCGUGUUAGUAACACUUGGAUAACCUACCUAUACUACUGUGAUAACUUCGGCUAACCGUAGCUAAUUCCGGGUAUUAUUUUCAUCCGCAUGUUCCACAAGUCAUAGACUUUCUUUCUGUCCCUUAUACUUUGAUCCGUGCUGUAUUAGCUAGUUGGUAAGGUAACGUCUUACCAAGGCUACGAUGCAUAACCGACCUGAGAGGGUGAUCGGCGACACUGGAACUGAGACACGGUCAAGACUCCUACGGGAGGCAGCAGUAGGGAAUCUACCGCAAUGGGCGAAAGCCUGACAGAGCAAAGCCGCGUGAGUGAUGAAGGUCUUCGGAUCGUAAAACUCUGUUAAUAGGGAAGAACAUAUGUGUAAGUAACUGUGCACAGCGUGACGGUACCUAAUCAGAAAGCCACGGAUAACUACGUG